rnacentral:rRNA from 1 species
GCUCAACCUCGGGCCUGCAGUGGGUACGGGCAGACUAGAGUGCGGUAGGGGAGAUUGGAAUUCCUGGUGUAGCGGUGGAAUGCGCAGAUAUCAGGAGGAACACCGAUGGCGAAGGCAGAUCUCUGGGCCGUAACUGACGCUGAGGAGCGAAAGGGUGGGGAGCAAACAGGCUUAGAUACCCUGGUAGUCCACCCCGUAAACGUUGGGAACUAGUUGUGGGGACCAUUCCACGGUUUCCGUGACGCAGCUAACGCAUUAAGUUCCCCGCCUGGGGAGUACGGCCGCAAGGCUAAAACUCAAAGGAAUUGACGGGGACCCGCACAAGCGGCGGAGCAUGCGGAUUAAUUCGAUGCAACGCGAAGAACCUUACCAAGGCUUGACAUACACCAGAACGGGCCAGAAAUGGUCAACUCUUUGGACACUGGUGAACAGGUGGUGCAUGGUUGUCGUCAGCUCGUGUCGUGAGAUGUUGGGUUAAGUCCCGCAACGAGCGCAACCCUCGUUCUAUGUUGCCAGCACGUAAUGGUGGGAACUCAUGGGAUACUGCCGGGGUCAACUCGGAGGAAGGUGGGGAUGACGUCAAAUCAUCAUGCCCCUUAUGUCUUGGGCUUCACGCAUGCUACAAUGGCCGGUACAAAGGGCUGCAAUACCGUGAGGUGGAGCGAAUCCCAAAAAGCCGGUCCCAGUUCGGAUUGAGGUCUGCAACUCGACCUCAUGAAGUCGGAGUCGCUAGUAAUCGCAGAUCAGCAACGCUGCGGUGAAUACGUUCCCGGGUCUUGUACACACCGCCCGUCAAGUCAUGAAAGUCGGUAACACCCGAAGCCGCGCGG